rnacentral:snRNA from 1 species
UGGCGCUUAAGCGCGCGACCUAUACCCGG